rnacentral:lncRNA from 1 species
AGAAAAUGUUUCGAUAUGCUGACAAAUAACUAAGAACGCUGACAUAUUUGGGUCCAAACUGAAAGAAAGAAUGGGUUCUGCUGCUGCAGUUCAUCUCCAGCAAUAACACAGAACAAUGGUGCGCCGCAGUUCAUCUCUAGCAAUAACACAGAACAAUGGCGAGUACAAGCAAUGCUAACUCUGGAACAGAACUGGCAGUGAUCGGAUAAUCGGCUCUCUUCUCUGAAGCUAGAAUAUCAGGUCCUGUUGGUUGUCCCACAGAAAGCCAAUUAUUGAGAGAAUGAGUAUUGCCAGAGAAGAAGGCUUUAUUCGGGUGCUCCAGUUGAGAAGAUGGGAGUAUCACUACAACUUUCAUCAACCAGUCAUCAACAUUGAAACCGUAAGCAUUGCCCUCCGUUCCUGUUUCGUCAAUCUGUUUCCCUGGUAUGACUCUAAUGUAUGAGACCUCCAAGGUUCAACUGUUUGUGGAUGGGAAGAGAAAAAGCAGAUUUUUGUCUGCUCCCAGUGUUCUCUGAAAUAUGUGACAAGCCCUGCAGGAGAUAACAUUUUGGAUGCCAAACUCUCAUUACCACAUUAAUUGCCUCUGUCAUGACAGUUUGGGCCGGAGCAAAUGGCUGGGAACCUGCUGUGCUCCUCAAGAGAGCAACACAGGCCAAGGGAAAGUGGGUCUGAAGUUUCCCAAGCAGUCGGCUGAAAGGUGCUGUUAUCAGAGCAUAGUCUGGAUUUGUCUUUACGUCUUGAGUCACUGUUAAAUUGGUGGGGGAGUGGCUCUCAAAAAUCUUUGUUCCUAAAACUUAUGAAAGAUAUUCAUGUAAACAAGUAAAAAUCGGGUUAAAUUCUGUUUUAUCAGCAGGACAUUUUCACCAUAAGUGAUUGUCCAAUUGACUGUCAAAGCAACAAAAGGUGAAGGAGGUGAGUGUAUAGUCUAAAGAUAAAAGCUCCAAAUGGGCUUUCAGUGUCCCUUCAUCUCCAAGCUGAAUGAACAGGAUGUAAUCACAGCAGCGCAUGAGAGGGCAAUUUGAACAGAGUGGAUACUAAGUAACAUUUGAAGUCAAAGCAAAAUCAAAAGAAAAUUCUCUUAAUACUCCCUCCUCCCAAUAUAAUUAACGUUAAAGUAUUCUUUUUAAUUAACAUAAUUAGAGGCUUAAUUAUUGAAAGUCGGGUUAAAGAUGAAAAGUAUCAUAUAAUUAAAAUAAUUAUUUUUCUUUAACCUCCAAAGGAAAACAAAGCAGUUUUUCUCUCAUAGUCAUUUAAACUUCAGUAAUAUUUCUUAUAUAAAAGUAGUUAUAAGAUUUAAUACAGACAUUGGUAAAGGAGUGGGGUGAAUAGAGUUUGUGAAGACUCUUACUGUACACAACGAGAAGAUGUUUUUAAUCUCUCUUUGGUCACAAAGGAGUUCAAUAAUUUAGGUUUUAAUGAUAGUACUAUUGUCAUGCACAGAACAUGUCAAAAUAAAUUGGUACAAUCUUUUCAUAAAGAGAUUUAAAAAUAAAGGUUCUAAAAAAUUCAAAAUACAGAAUAAAAACUAUGAACAUACAUGCAUCACAGCCUUACUCGUAAUAUAGAAAUUCUGGUAAAAAAUAUUGCACAUUAUUGGAAUAAAGACUAUGCUACUGUAAUAACAAUGCCCUAAAUACAGCUUGGAUAAGAGAGAAGUUUAUUCAUGUCUUACACAAGAGUCUGGUUAAUAACUUAGACAAUUUUGUUCAUAAGAACAGAAAGUACUGUUCUUAAUAGACAGUUAUGUUCUAUAAGAUUCAGAAACUUAGGUUGUUUUAAUUUUCCUCCUCUGCUGCCUCCAUGUGUAAUUUCUCUCUCUAGAUAGUCAAAGCUGGGUCACUACCACCUCUGGCAUUCAGCCUGAGGAAAGAGGAAGGAGCAUGAGCAAAGAUUGCUUUUAAGAUGCAGGUUUGGGCUGGUCGCAGUGGCUCACACCUGUAAUCCCAGCACUUUGGGAGGCCAAGGUGGGUGGAUCACCUGAG